rnacentral:lncRNA from 1 species
AAGUAAAGAGAUAGUACCCAAGGAUCAAGAAUCGGAGUACUCGAAAUUUGACUCCCAAAAUAGUGAGUAACCUUACUAUCGUCUUAAUUAUCUAAAGUAGUUUUUAAUCGUUUUUGUGAUUUGAUAGCAAAAAUGAGUUUAAAUGGUAAAUCUUUAUGUUUUAUAUGCAAAAUGUGAUUAAAUGAAAUGAUUUUAUAAAAUUGUCUUGCAAUUGAAUGAUGGUUUUGAAAAUGGAGUAAUUGGAGACUAAUUGUUGUGUUGUAAAUCAUGGUUUGAAUUGAAUGGCUUAUGAUAAUAUUGGCAUGAAUGGCUGGAUUUGGUAAAUGUGUUGAAAAAGUAUGAACUGUUGAUUUGCCUUGGGAGGCUGUAAAAUAAAAUAAUUGCCAUGUCAUUCUAUUGAAUUUUAUUGAAUUGGUGGGUUAUAAAUUAGUCGCUGCAGUGGACGGGUUCCGUGGACUAGCCUAAUAGAGGGGCACGGUAACCUUAUUAUAUUCAUACCUCAGUAUGAGAGGCACAGUUGGAUAACUCCUGAGGUUAAAACUUUAGAGUUCACUUCACACCAAACCUCCACGUGAGGGUGAACUCAGCCAACGCUAAGGAACGGCUAUGUUUUCAAAAUAAAAACAUGAUUUAUGUGUACAUGACUUUUUAACAGCCUUGGUGGACUUGGUUGGGAUAGCCCCAGGCCAAGGUAUCC